GAUUUGUCUGGUUAAUUCCGUUAACGAACGAGACCCCUGCCUGCUAAAUAGCUUGCCGAGUGAAUGUUCACUGGGUGAAGCUUCUUAGAGGGACGUGCAUUCUAUUAGAUGCAGGAAGAUAGGGGCAAUAACAGGUCUGUGAUGCCCUUAGAUGUCCUGGGCCGCACGCGCGCUACACUGAUGCAUUCAACGAGUGGACCUUGGCCGAGAGGCCUGGGAAAUCUGUGAAGGUGCAUCGUGAUAGGGAUAGA
rnacentral:rRNA from 1 species